rnacentral:sRNA from 1 species
UGCGGAAGGAUCAUUACAGAGUUCAUGCCCUAACGGGUAGACCUCCCACCCUUGUGUAUUUAUACUUUGUUGCUUUGGCGAGCUGCUGAGGAUGUCAAGUCCGAAGCCUACACUUGUAGAGCCGCUCGCCGAAGGAAAAUUAAAUUCUGAAUGUUAGUGUCGUCUGAGUACUAUAUAAUAGUUAAAACUUUCAACAACGGAUCUCUUGGUUCUGGCAUCGAUGAAGAACGCAGCGAAAUGCGAUAAGUAAUGUGAAUUGCAGAAUUCAGUGAAUCAUCGAAUCUUUGAACGCACAUUGCGCCCCUUGGUAUUCCGGGGGGCAUGCCUGUUCGAGCGUCAUUUCAACCCUCAAGCUCAGCUUGGUAUUGGAUUCCGUCGGUCAAACGACAGGUCUUAAAAUCAGUGGCGGCGCCGUUGGGUCCUGAACGUAGUAAUAUAUUUCGUUACAGGUACUCCGCGUGCUUCUGCCAUUAAACCCCCAAUUUCUUAUGGUUGACCUCGGAUCAGGUAGGGAUACCCGCUGAACUUAAGCA